rnacentral:rRNA from 1 species
UACGAAGGGAGCUAGCGUUGUUCGGAAUCACUGGGCGUAAAGCGCACGUAGGCGGAUGUGUCAGUCAGGGGUGAAAUCCCGGAGCUCAACUUCGGAACUGCCUUUGAUACAGCACGUCUUGAGUCCGGAAGAGGUGGGUGGAAUUCCUAGUGUAGAGGUGAAAUUCGUAGAUAUUCGCAAGAACACCAGUGGCGAAGGCGGCUCACUGGCCCGAUACUGACGCUGAGGUGCGAAAGCGUGGGGAGCAAACAGG